AACGAACGCUGGCGGCAUGCCUAACACAUGCAAGUCGAACGAGACCUUCGGGUCUAGUGGCGCACGGGUGCGUAACGCGUGGGAACCUGCCCUUAGGUUCGGAAUAACUCCCCGAAAGGGGUGCUAAUACCGGAUAAUGUCUUCGGACCAAAGAUUUAUCGCCUCUGGAUGGGCCCGCGUUGGAUUAGCUAGUUGGUAGGGUAAAAGCCUACCAAGGCGACGAUCCAUAGCUGGUCUGAGAGGAUGAUAAGCCACACUGGGACUGAGACACGGCCCAGACUCCUACGGGACGCAGCAGUGGGGAAUAUUGGACAAUGGGCGAAAGCCUGAUCCAGCAAUGCCGCGUGAGUGAUGAAGGCCUUAGGGUUGUAAAGCUCUUUUACCCGGGAUGAUAAUGACAGUACCGGGAGAAUAAGCGCCGGCUAACUACGUG
rnacentral:rRNA from 1 species